rnacentral:rRNA from 1 species
UUAAGACAUAAUUAUUUACCGGUCAAUACGAACUAUUGUUUAAAAUCCAAAGAAUUUGGCGGUGUCUCAUUCUAUCAGGGGAACCUGUUACUUAAUUCGAUAUUCCACGAAACUCUAUCCAUACUUUGAAUACCAGCCUGUGUACUGCUGUCGCCAGUAAACCUCUAAAAGAAAGUUUACAAUUUUACUUCAUUGUAUUCACGUCAAGUCAAAGUGCAGCCUAUAGUAUGGAGUAAAAUGGGUUACAAUCUUUAUAAAGAUACAAAUAGAAAUAAUAAAAAUUUCUUGAAGGUGGACUUGACAGUAAUGCUUAAAAAAUAUUAGCAUAAAUAAGUACCUGAGACAUGCACACAUCGCCCGUCACUCUCAUCUUA